rnacentral:tmRNA from 1 species
GGGGCCGACUGGUUUUGACAGCAUAAGGCAGGAUAAGUAAGCAUGUCGUGCGUUGGAUAAUUAGCACGUAAAUCUGAAUAUUCAACUUUUGAAUGGCGAAUCUAACUUUGCCAUGGCUGCCUAAUUAAAUUAGCGCAACCAUUUUGGCCGCAGAAGGCUUUGGCCUGUUGACGCCCCUGCCGCCUAACUCAAACUUCAAUGGGAUAGUACCUGUAUCGUUGCGCUGCGGGUAUGAAACUUAAGCAACUAGGAAGGGUGUAGGUUUGUCCUGCUCCGGCACUGUUCCGAAAUCCAAUGCAGGAAUAAACAUGUAGAAAGCUUAUUGGGCAUAUGUUUGGACGCGGGUUCGAAUCCCGCCGGUUCCACUC